rnacentral:rRNA from 1 species
GACGAACGCUGGCGGCGUGCUUAACACAUGCGAGUCGAACGGAAAGGCCCUGCUUUUGUGGGGUGCUCGAGUGGCGAACAGGUGAGUAACACGUGAGUAACCUGCCCUUGACUUUGGGAUAACUUCAGGAAACUGGGGCUAAUACCGGAUAGGAGCUCCUGCUGCAUGGUGGGGGUUGGAAAGUUUCGGCGGUUGGGGAUGGACUCGCGGCUUAUCAGCUUGUUGGUGGGGUAGUGGCUUACCAAGGCUUUGACGGGUAGCCGGCCUGAGAGGGUGACCGGCCACAUUGGGACUGAGAUACGGCCCAGACUCCUACGGGAGGCAGCAGUGGGGAAUAUUGCACAAUGGGCGGAAGCCUGAUGCAGCAACGCCGCGUGCGGGAUGACGGCCUUCGGGUUGUAAACCGCUUUCGCCUGUGACGAAGCGUGAGUGACGGUAAUGGGUAAAGAAGCACCGGCUAACUACGUG